UGUCAUUUACUUUCUUUUUAUUCUAGAAAGUGAAAUAAAAAAAUAAAUUGUUUUUUUUUUAGAAAAGUUUUUGUUUGUUUGGCUAAAACAAAUUAUGAAACAUUGAGGUCAAACCUCUUAAAUAUUCAUUUAGUUCAAAUGCUUUGUGUUCACUACUUUUCUGUUGUAUAUAAUUUAAAUAUAACUAGUACAAUAAUAAGUUCAAACCAAAAUCACAUCAUGCAUGUAAAAAUUAUGAUUGGAAUAUUUGGCAAGAGUUGAUUGUAAACUAAGUCCAUUUUAAGACGUUAUAAUAAAAAUAUGAAUAAAAAAUAAAUAAUUUGUAUCACAGUUUCUCUUGUGAUAUGUACAUAUAUAGGAGCAUGCUAUUCACAAAAAAACUUUGUUGUAAUUCUGACAUGAUAUCUACAAGUGUACAUAUAUAACGUCUAUCUGAUUUUUAUCAGUACAUUCCAAUGAUUUAUAUAGUUUGUGAUUAUGAAAGUGUUUACAACGCAAUUUAAUCACCAGCCAAUAGACUUUUGAAUCAUGCAUACAUAUGUGGGGUUUAUGUUAGAAACACAUGAAUAGAAGUUAUGCAAGUAUUUUAAAAAAAUUAACUUAUGAAAUAUUCACAAAAUACUGAAGAUUAGACUCUUUUUUUUGAGACAAGCUCUGGUUUUAGUGGCGGGGGGGGGG